GAUUACAUAAAUGACUCAUCAUAGCACAAUGCUUCGAAUAACAAUAAAGAUAAGUAAUAAUAUGAAAGACUAGAGUCAUUUACAUAAUAUAAUCAAAGUACACAGAAUAGAAACGUAGCCAACGUAAAUAAACCCACCACAGGCAGCUGACUGGGGGAGGUCGCUAUCCUAAUCCUCGAACUCGUCGAAGUCCUGGAACUCCUAGAGAUCUGCCUCGACACCUUCUUCUUUACCUGAGCAUAGAUUGCACCAAAGGCAACCUGGUAUUUUGUGAAAGCAAGGGUGAGUACACAUCAACAUACUCAGCAAAUGUCCCAUUUGGCUAAAGUGGACUAGCUUUAUGUGGGGUUAAGCUCAAGCAGUUGCUUUUAGUUGGUCAGGUAUUUAUAAUUAGUAGAAGCCAAGUUUUAUCAUAUACCCAACCCGUGAACCUUUUCCUCAUCGAGGAACAUCAUUAUCAUCAUCGAACCAAAAUAUUAAAUAGAACCAUUAUAUAUAUCGAACCAUCUGUAUCUCUAAUCAAAGAGGAUCCCAAGGCCGCUCAUAACCGUGAGCACGACUGAUAUAUCAGUUUCAUUACCCUCUGCAGAGGUUGCACACUUUACCCAUGAGCCGUGAUUCCCGUUUUGCCCGGGGAUCAUGACUCCCCAUUGAUCACUUCCUAGGUGGUCCGGCAGGGUAUCACUACGUAGCCUUUACAAAGAUUCCCUAGAGGUCAUAGCCGCCCGUUAGGUUUCUCCAGUUUGAUAAACACAGUACCUCUCCCCGCAGGAGGGUGACUAACAAAAGCAAAACGAAAGAACCUCAGCACCCAGUCUCGGCAGAGCAAGCACUGUGCCUGGACCCCAUUGACGGCACGACGGCGAAGCAACUACACCUCUAGUUCCUCUAAUUAAUUAGCUAAGGGCGCCCCAUUUCACCCUCAUGGUUGCACUGUUAUCCCGGAUUGUCACUCCCCAAACAGGUCCUUACGGAGAGGCACUCAGGAAACAGCCUGAGCCCUCUAAAGUAUCACAGGAACAUCAUCGGGAUAACAUCAUAGUAUCAUAAGUAUUCACAUCAUGUUCAUUGAUUCAAGUAAAGCAAUAGCAUAAUGCUAACCAUGAUAACCCAAAAGGUAAACAAGGAUAAGGUAAAUGGAAAGCUAGUCAAUCCUUAGGUUUCAAUUAAGUAAUGCGGGAUAGUGCAUUAAAAGUGAAUGAGACAUAAUGGGUCAGAGGACACUUGCCUUCACCAAACAGAUGCUCAGGGUCUUCAGCCUCAUGGAACUCGAAGAGCUAGAUCACUUGAUCGUCGAAGCUUGAUCAUCGAUUCCUCGAAGCGCGGGAACAAAUCACGAUCUAAUCGCAACACGAAGCGAAGACGAACAAGCACAAGCAAACAAACAUAUAUAAAUACAUAAUAACAUUACACCAUACAAGAUAAAAUGAUAUAAAAAUAUGCAGCAUAAAACAGAGCUCGAUUCUAUGGUCACGCGAGGGAAAGAAAUGUCGAACUCGAAGCGACGAUC
rnacentral:lncRNA from 1 species